GAUGAACGCUAGCUACAGGCUUAACACAUGCAAGUCGAGGGGAAACGACAUCGAAAGCUUGCUUUUGAUGGGCGUCGACCGGCGCACGGGUGAGUAACGCGUAUCCAACCUGCCCAUCACUUGGGAAUAACCUUGCGAAAGUAAGACUAAUACCCAAUGACAUCCCACGAAGACAUCUGAAUGGGAUUAAAGAUUUAUCGGUGAUGGAUGGGGAUGCGUCUGAUUAGCUUGUUGGCGGGGUAACGGCCCACCAAGGCAACGAUCAGUAGGGGUUCUGAGAGGAAGGUCCCCCACAUUGGAACUGCGACACGGUCCAAACUCCUACGGGAGGCAGCAGUGAGGAAUAUUGGUCAAUGGGCGAGAGCCUGAACCAGCCAAGUAGCGUGCAGGAUGACGGCCCUAUGGGUUGUAAACUGCUUUUAUAAGGGAAUAAAGUGGGUCUCGUGAGACUUUUUGCAUGUACCUUAUGAAUAAGGACCGGCUAAUUCCGUG
rnacentral:rRNA from 1 species